rnacentral:lncRNA from 1 species
ACCUCUGUGUACACAACUCCGCUUGUGGCAGGAUCCGAAUUCAUCUCAUCUCAACAGUAGAGGGUAACAUACAAGCUCAACAUCAAAACUUGGCAAGUCAAUAGUUCUCAAGCAUCAUUCAUCUCAAAAACAUUUGAUAAACUCAUAAAUGUCAUCAAAUCAUUUUAGAAAGCUCGUAUGAUAUAUGUAUACUCAAAAUAUUGUCCACCUGAAGUCCUUCGCUUAGCUCGGAAAGAAAAUAGGUGACUUACUUCUUCGUCUCGCUCGGGC